rnacentral:sRNA from 1 species
UCCACCAACAAGGACAAUCUCGUGAACAGUGCUCUUGUCCAUCUUAGCAUCACGG